GAUGCUGAUCUAAAGAUUCUCAGCGGCAGUAGCACAUCACCUCAAGAGGACAUGCAAACAGCCCAAAAUGAAGAGUGUUGCUCCUACACGAGCUCAAACAGAGAAAGUAUGCCUGUCUCAAUUGUACUUUGAUAUUUAAAUCCUUGUUCAAUGCUCUGUUUGCCUUGGAUAUAGAAUUCCUGUCACCACUCUCUCUUCCAGUUGAGACUCUCUAAACGACGAGAGCUCGUGAAUAGAAAUAAGGUAUAGGAGAAAGAGGGAAAAGCUGGUUGAAAGGACUGCAGUUUCGCGCUUGCCUACUAAAUGGGGUUCGUUUAUGGUAUACUGUUAUCGUUCAAAACUGGACGAGAAGAGCAUAUUGCGCUUGUGAAGGGAGACAUAGGGAAUGGGCAGGAUGUUCUUAUGAGGGUUCACUAGGAGUGUUUGACAGGCGACAUUUUUGGAUCAAGGCGAUGCACAAUAUUUUAUUGGGUUUGAUGUAGAAUGUUUGUAUGAUGGAUACUUUUUCAAUGUAGGAUGAUAAAGAAUAUUUGAAAUUAAUAAAUGACAUUUUUAUUAUUCGUGUA